rnacentral:rRNA from 1 species
UACAGAGGGUGCGAGCGUUGUCCGGAAUCACUGGGCGUAAAGGGCGCGUAGGCGGCUUGAUAAGCGUGCGGUGAAAGCCCGGGGCUCAACCCCGGGUCGGCCGUGCGAACUGUCGAGCUGGAGCACUGUAGAGGCAGGUGGAGUUCCGGGUGUAGCGGUGGAAUGCGUAGAGAUCCGGAAGAACACCGGUGGCGAAGGCGGCCUGCUGGGCAGUGGCUGACGCUGAGGCGCGACAGCGUGGGGAGCAAACAGG